UACACAUGCAGUCGAGCGGUAGCACAGAGAGCUUGCUCUCGGGUGACGAGCGGCGGACGGGUGAGUAAUGUCUGGGAAACUGCCUGAUGGAGGGGGAUAACUACUGGAAACGGUAGCUAAUACCGCAUAAUGUCGCAAGACCAAAGUGGGGGACCUUCGGGCCUCAUGCCAUCAGAUGUGCCCAGAUGGGAUUAGCUAGUAGGUGGGGUAACGGCUCACCUAGGCGACGAUCCCUAGCUGGUCUGAGAGGAUGACCAGCCACACUGGAACUGAGACACGGUCCAGACUCCUACGGGAGGCAGCAGUGGGGAAUAUUGCACAAUGGGCGCAAGCCUGAUGCAGCCAUGCCGCGUGUGUGAAGAAGGCCUUCGGGUUGUAAAGCACUUUCAGCGGGGAGGAAGGCGUUGAGGUUAAUAACCUUGUCGAUUGACGUUACCCGCAGAAGAAGCACCGGCUAACUCCGUGCCAGCAGCCGCGGUAAUACGGAGGGUGCAAGCGUUAAUCGGAAUUACUGGGCGUAAAGCGCACGCAGGCGGUCUGUCAAGUCGGAUGUGAAAUCCCCGGGCUCAACCUGGGAACUGCAUUCGAAACUGGCAGGCUAGAGUCUUGUAGAGGGGGGUAGAAUUCCAGGUGUAGCGGUGAAAUGCGUAGAGAUCUGGAGGAAUACCGGUGGCGAAGGCGGCCCCCUGGACAAAGACUGACGCUCAGGUGCGAAAGCGUGGGGAGCAAACAGGAUUAGAUACCCUGGUAGUCCACGCCGUAAACGAUGUCGAUUUGGAGGUUGUGCCCUUGAGGCGUGGCUUCCGGAGCUAACGCGUUAAAUCGACCGCCUGGGGAGUACGGCCGCAAGGUUAAAACUCAAAUGAAUUGACGGGGGCCCGCACAAGCGGUGGAGCAUGUGGUUUAAUUCGAUGCAACGCGAAGAACCUUACCUGGUCUUGACAUCCACAGAACUUAGCAGAGAUGCUUGGUGCCUUCGGGAACUGUGAGACAGGUGCUGCAUGGCUGUCGUCAGCUCGUGUUGUGAAAUGUUGGGUUAAGUCCCGCAACGAGCGCAACCCUUAUCCUUUGUUGCCAGCGGUUAGGCCGGGAACUCAAAGGAGACUGCCAGUGAUAAACUGGAGGAAGGUGGGGAUGACGUCAAGUCAUCAUGGCCCUUACGACCAGGGCUACACACGUGCUACAAUGGCAUAUACAAAGAGAAGCGACCUCGCGAGAGCAAGCGGACCUCAUAAAGUAUGUCGUAGUCCGGAUUGGAGUCUGCAACUCGACUCCAUGAAGUCGGAAUCGCUAGUAAUCGUAGAUCAGAAUGCUACGGUGAAUACGUUCCCGGGCCUUGUACACACCGCCCGUCACACCAUGGGAGUGGGUUGCAAAAGAAGUAGGUAGCUUAACCUUCGGGAGGGCGCUACCACUUUGAU
rnacentral:rRNA from 1 species